rnacentral:rRNA from 1 species
GUUUGAUCCUGGCUCAGGACGAACGCUGGCGGCGUGCCUAAUACAUGCAAGUGGAACGCAUUGGUAACACCGGACUUGCUCCAGUGUUACUAAUGAGUCGCGAACGGGUGAGUAACGCGUAGGUAACCUGCCUGAUAGCGGGGGAUAACUAUUGGAAACGAUAGCUAAUACCGCAUAAGAGGAGUUAACUCAUGUUAACUGUUUAAAAGAAGCAAUGGCUUCACUAUCAGAUGGACCUGCGUUGUAUUAGCUAGUAGGUAGGGUAACGGCCUACCUAGGCAACGAUACAUAGCCGACCUGAGAGGGUGAUCGGCCACACUGGGACUGAGACACGGCCCAGACUCCUACGGGAGGCAGCAGUAGGGAAUCUUCGGCAAUGGACGCAAGUCUGACCGAGCAACGCCGCGUGAGUGAAGACGGUUUUCGGAUCGUAAAGCUCUGUUGUAGGGGAAGAACGUGUGUAAGAGUGGAAAGCUUACACAGUGACGGUACCCUACCAGAAAGGGACGGCUAACUACGUGCCAGCAGCCGCGGUAAUACGUAGGUCCCGAGCGUUGUCCGGAUUUAUUGGGCGUAAAGGGAGCGCAGGCGGUUUAGUAAGUCUGAAGUUAAAGGCAUUGGCUCAACCAAUGUAUGCUUUGGAAACUGUUAGACUUGAGUGCAGAAGGGGAGAGUGGAAUUCCAUGUGUAGCGGUGAAAUGCGUAGAUAUAUGGAGGAACACCGGUGGCGAAAGCGGCUCUCUGGUCUGUCACUGACGCUGAGGCUCGAAAGCGUGGGUAGCGAACAGGAUUAGAUACCCUGGUAGUCCACGCCGUAAACGCUGAGUGCUAGGUGUUAGGUCCUUUCCGGGACUUAGUGCCGACGCUAACGCAUUAAGCACUCCGCCUGGGGAGUACGACCGCAGGUUGAAACUCAAAGGAAUUGACGGGGCCCGCACAAGCGUGGAGCAUGUGGUUUAAUUCGAAGCAACGCGAGAACCUUACCAGGUCUUGACAUCCCGAUGCCGCUCUAGAG